GGAAGGGUGGCUCAGUGGUAGAGCGCUACCGACCAAUGGUGGUUACCCCGCAAAGGGCUCCGCGUGGUUCGACUCCCGCCCCUUCCA
rnacentral:tRNA from 2 species